GUGUCCUACCACUGUUAUAAACAUGCAGGUUGGUCGCUAUUCCCUCAUUUCCACCUCCAAACAACACCACCAACUCUCGGAUGGCGAUUGCCCGAUGCCCGUGCCUCGCCCUGGGAACAGGUCCAUGGACACAACAAAAUGUACUCAUAAAGCAAGGACUCCAUAGGCAUGCAUUGACUUGAUUUGCGGGAGCAGUCAAGGGGAAUACACUGACUGGAUUUGCAAGAGUAGUCAAGUUGCAAACACUGACUGGAUUUGCGGGAAUAGUCUGGUCCUAUAGACUG